UUCAAUAACACAUGACAAAACGGUGGACCUAAAGCAGCUUAUUCCUUCCCUGCUGGGUUGCUAGUGAGAGUGAGUAAUUUCUGCAGUGGCAAAAGGCAUAUUUUUCAUACAUUCUGAAGUGCUUGGAAAAAUAAUUCUAUAUAGAAAUACACUCAUGCUUUUUUGUACCAAACAGUCAGUAUUUUGCAUAAAUCCAAUUUUUUACACACCAAAAGUUUUGGAUAUUUUGAAUGCUUUUCCAUUCAAAAAGUAUAUCCUUUUGAACAAAAAGGCAUAACUUUUGACCAUAAUUUUUGUGCAAAGACACUUAUUUUACCUGCAAAAUCACAUAUGGCUGUAGUGAAAUGGUGUGUUUGUACGUGUCUGUGAGAAAGAGAUACAUAUGGAAGGAGAGAAAUAUGUACAAAACUUGCUCACAAAGUUUUUCACAUUCAAAAUCACAAGUGUUUCCAUUCAGAAUAAUUUCUCCAAACACUUUAUUGAGUGAAAACUGGAAGUUCUAUGAUAUUCUCUCAUAUCAGAUUUACUGUGUAUCAGGAACCUCUAUACCUUUUGACCAGAAAAUGAAAAAUGGGAAACAGUAUUUCUAACCUGCUAAACAUUUCAUGAAAUUAUAACCACUGUAGCUUUCAUUUUCUGAUAACUUAUAUAGAAAGUAUGAAUCACAAACCUUAUUUUCAGUAACAUUGUAAUUUGAGGAGUGUUAAGUUUCCACUUUCUUUAAAUUGUUCAAGAAAGAAAUCAAGCCAUGGAAACUGUUAAAUCUUGUCACAGUAAAUAACCAUGGGUGCAUCUAAUUAUAUUUGUAGUAAAGCCCCAAGUCUGAUGAAUUUAAAUGGGUCUACUCUACCUAUAUAUAGUAUGUAUCCAGACCUAUAGAUAUUUAUUCAUUUUAUGACAUUAGCAACCUGCAUAUGUUCUACAAAAUAGCCAGCUAUACCAACUAAAAACAUCAAGAAAAAGAUUACAAAAUGUAAGCAGACAUUGUUAAAAGCACAAUUGUCACAUCUCAUCUGAAAAGAGCAAUGAACCGACGUCAUUUUAUGACCUAGAAAACCACUCUGCAUGACCUAUUAUUAGGAUCUGAAAUCACAGAUAACUUUUCUUUUUUUCAUAAAAAACCCAGUUUUCUAAGAGUACCGUGAUUUCCCCCCACUGCAGAGUAGGGGGAAAUCACAGCAGUGUGCACUGAAGAGGUAGAAACUGAACAAGAAAGGUUAAACAAAGGGAGAGAAAAACCUAAACUUAACUGUGCUUUCAGAUCUCAGGUGAGAAGUACCCACAGGUUGAAGAUGGACAGAUACCUGGGGAGAUCAACGCAAACAUCAAGCAACAUAAAUGACUUCUGGAUCACUGAGGAAAGUCUAAUAGGUUAUCCCAUUGAUAUUAAAAGUUUAGAUUUCCAACAAUCUGAAAACUGUGACAUUGGGCUCCUCCUUGGCUUGACUUAUUUUAGUUCAGUGGAAUAUUUAGAAAUUGAUGCAUGUCUCCUUAUUUAGAAAUUGAUACAUGUCUCAUUCAAAAUCAGACCAUUUAUAUCAUCCUUAUAUAAUUAGUUGAGAUCCUAGACCAGGCCAAUUGUUUCUAUCUCCAAAUCAUUUGUAGAUCCCAAGAAAAAGGUAUCAGUUCGUGAACAAUUUAUAAUGAAGUUGACCACAUUUUGUGCUGUCUAAACCCCCCUAAAGCUUCCAAAAAUUUCCACAAUGUCAUAUAAAAGAAAGGGAGGGAAUUUUGCACUUUUGAGGUUCCUUCACAAAACCCCUGAAAGGAAGAUAUAGAUACAUACUGUCGAGAUCCAGACGCCUUUAAAGAGCCAGACACAGGGAUAAGGUCCAAACAAAGUUUAUUAAGACAACAAAAAGGGACACUUACUUCAGUGUCCCUGGACAAAACAAAAGGUUUCAAGCAAUUUGCAUGACAAAAACUUAAAUUGGCAAAUAAUCCAGAUUAAACCGGCAUAUAAUCUGGGAUAAACAAAAGGUUGAGCAAAACAUUCCAAAGUCACAGAGUUCAAAGUAUGCAAGUAAACAAGGUGGAAGAACACAAAGCCGUAGUCCAAAAACAGUCUGAAGUCAAAGAUAUUAGAGUCCAAAAA